rnacentral:pre_miRNA from 1 species
UAGCAUCUGAGAAUAUUUCUAUGUCCCAGCAUGCAUUUGGUGGACAGUGUGGAAGGACUGUCCACACUGUCCACCAAAUGCAUGCUGGGACAUAGAAAUAUUCUUG